rnacentral:rRNA from 1 species
GACGAUCAUGAGUUGGAACUGUUGAGGCCUCGGGCAACCUCGGACAGUUCAAGAACUAGUGUGUCUGGUGCACACAUACAAGCCCAAGCUCGUCUUCUUGACUGA